CCUCAAUAAGCACCAAAAGAGGGACAUUGGUCUCCAAAAACGAGUCAGAGAUGUGAUCCAUGACAGCCUUGCGUAGCUUUUGACGCAGAUCCUUGUUUU